UUCACCCGACAAUUCCAGCUUUUAUAAUGAUUUGUCAGAUAGUUUUUUAACUCUGAGAUCAUUGUGAAAGCUGAUUUUGGCGG
rnacentral:pre_miRNA from 1 species